rnacentral:rRNA from 1 species
ANUUAGCAUAUCAAUAAGCGGAGGAAUAAGAAACCAACAGGGAUUGCCCUAGUAACGGCGAGUGAAGCGGCAAAAGCUCAAAUUUGAAAGCUGGCCUUCGGGUCCGCAUUGUAAUUUGUAGAGGAUGCUUUGGGGCAGCCGCCUGUCUAAGUUCCUUGGAACAGGACGUCAUAGAGGGUGAGAAUCCCGUAUGUGACAGGACAUGGCACCCUAUGUAAAGCUCCUUCGACGAGUCGAGUUGUUUGGGAAUGCAGCUCUAAAUGGGAGGUAAAUUUCUUCUAAAGCUAAAUACCGGCGAGAGACCGAUAGCGCACAAGUAGAGUGAUCGAAAGAUGAAAAGCACUUUGGAAAGAGAGUUAAAAAGCACGUGAAAUUGUUGAAAGGGAAGCGCUUGCAAUCAGACUUGUCCUAGGUUGUUCAGCCGGUCUUCUGACCGGUCCAUUCAGCCUGGGACAGGCCAGCAUCAGUUUCGGCGGUCGGAUAAAGGCUCUGGGAAUGUGGCUCGCCCUUCGGGGUGAGUGUUAUAGCCCAGGGUGUAAUACGGCCAGCCGGGACUGAGGUCCGCGCUUCGGCUAGGAUGCUGGCGUAAUGGUUGUAAGCGACCCGUCUUGAAACACGGACCAAGGAGUCUAACAUCUAUGCGAGUGUUCGGGUGUCAAACCCCUGCGCGUAAUGAAAGUGAACGGAGGUGGGAACCGCAAGGUGCACCAUCGACCGAUCCUGAUGUCUUCGGAUGGAUUUGAGUAAGAGCAUAGCUGUUGGGACCCGAAAGAUGGUGAACUAUGCCUGAAUAGGGUGAAGCCAGAGNANACUCUNGUGNAGGCUCACAGCNNUUCUA